rnacentral:lncRNA from 1 species
CCCAAACUAGCACUCAAGGUCAAAAGUCACAAAAAUAGCACUUAAUGCUUUAUCAAAAGUCACAAACUUAGGGUUUAGAGUUAAAGGGUGGGGUUUAGGAUUUAGGGUUUAGGGUUUAGGGUUUAGGGUUUAGAGUUUAGGGUUUAGAGUUUAGAGGUUAGGGUUUAGGGUUUAGGGUUUAGAGUUUAGAGUUUAGGGUUUAGGGUUGAGAAAUGAGGUUUUGGGGAUAAGAUUUCAAAUUUUGAAAAAUAAAAAAAAUUAAAAUUUUCAAAGGAUAAAUUUAGAAAGGUGCUAUUUUGGUCAUUUUAGUUUUUG